UACGAAGGGGGGCUAGCGUUGCUCGGAAUCACUGGGCGUAAAGCGUGCGCAGGCGGUUAUUUAAGUCAGGUGUGAAAGCCCUGGGCUUAACCUAGGAAUUGCGCUUGAGACUGGAUAGCUUGGAGUGCGGCAGAGGGAGGUGGAAUUCCACGUGUAGCAGUGAAAUGCGUAGAGAUGUGGAGGAACACCGAUGGCGAAGGCAGCCUCCUGGGCCAGCACUGACGCUCAUGCACGAAAGCGUGGGGAGCAAACAGG
rnacentral:rRNA from 1 species